rnacentral:rRNA from 1 species
UACGAGGGGGGCGAGCGUUGUUCGGAAUUAUUGGGCGUAAAGGGUGCGUAGGCGGUUUGGUAAGUCUCGUGUGAAAUCUCCGGGCUCAACUCGGAGCCUGCACGAGAAACUGCCGGGCUUGAGUGUGGGAGAGGUGAGUGGAAUUCCUGGUGUAGCGGUGAAAUGCGUAGAUAUCAGGAGGAACACCUGUGGCGAAAGCGGCUCACUGGACACGUAUUGACGCUGAGGCACGAAAGCGUGGGGAUCAAACAGG